UACGAAGGGGGCUAGCGUUGCUCGAAAUUACUGGGCGUAAAGGGCGCGUAGGCGGACAGUUAAGUCAGAGGUGAAAGCCCAGGGCUCAACCCUGGAAUUGCCUUUGAUACUGGCUGUCUUGAGUACGGGAGAGGUGAGUGGAACUCCGAGUGUAGAGGUGAAAUUCGUAGAUAUUCGGAAGAACACCAGUGGCGAAGGCGGCUCACUGGCCCGAUACUGACGCUGAGGCACGAAAGCGUGGGGAGCAAACAGG
rnacentral:rRNA from 1 species